rnacentral:lncRNA from 1 species
AUAAACGAUUUUUCUUGUUGCAGGGGAUUGCAGUGGCAAAGCUAGGCUAGGUCUUGGAGGCUGGUGUAAGGCGAUGUGGGUGAAGGCAGGAGGCUGAUGGAAAGACUGGGGGGAAGAAAAGCCGAAAUGGAUUCACGGUGCCUUGGAUGAAGGACGAGAGGGGAACUGCAAGCUCCUUCAACUGGUUCUGUCCGGUGAGAAGUGAUCAAGCUUGGGCUGACAAGAGGCUCAGGGAGCCCUCACGUUCUUUCGCUUUUUUACCUGCCAAUCAAACUGCUACAAGACAACACCCUGAUCUGGCAUGGACAUAUCCAACUUAGAAAUAAUGUUUCAUUCAAGAUAAGGCUCGUGGCUUAGGAGAUUGUGACCUGGCUUGCAUCAUUCUAAGACUUCUAUCGUCUGUUUUCAAAACCCAAGGAGGACCUCCUUUUCUGUGUGAUAGUUCCUCAUGCUUUGCCAGCCACUGGGUCUUUAAGGAAGCUUGCCAAGAGUUCCCGGCUGGGAAGGACAGUUCGAGUUCAUCAUAGACAAUGAGCUGGCACCACAGUUUAAGUGACUCACCAACCUGGUUGCCCACUUCAAAAUGUCAAGAACCACACUAUCUAAUUGAAAGAACUGUGUUUUAGCAAAGUGUAAUUGGAUCGCCUGGCAAGAUCAUCUCAAACUAUGUCUCUGACCUUGCCUUUCAGUGGCUAUUUUGAGCACAAGAGGAGAAAGGAAAUGAUUCCUGAAUUAUAUCUUGUUUUUAAAAAUUAAGAUUAAUUAAUACUUGGUUUUAUGUUCAUUCCAUUGUAGGAACUUAGUGAUUAUUACAAAACAG